rnacentral:rRNA from 1 species
UACGUAGGGGGCAAGCGUUGUCCGGAAUCAUUGGGCGUAAAGAGCGUGUAGGCGGCUCGAUAAGUCCGCUGUGAAAGUCCAGGGCUCAACCCUGGAAGGCCGGUGGAAACUGUCGGGCUAGAGUCCGGAAGAGGCGAGUGGAAUUCCCGGUGUAGCGGUGAAAUGCGCAGAUAUCAGGAGGAACACCUGUGGCGAAAGCGGCUCACUGGACCAUAACUGACGCUGAUGCACGAAAGCGAGGGGAGCAAACAGG